rnacentral:rRNA from 1 species
AGAGUUUGAUCAUGGCUCAGAACGAACGCUGGCGGCAUGCCUAACACAUGCAAGUCGAACGCUUACCCGGUUUCGGCCGGGUAGGAGUGGCGCACGGGUGAGUAGCGCGUGGGAACCUGCCCUGUUGUGGGGGAUAACCGAGGGAAACUUCGGCUAAUACCGCAUGCGCCCGGGGAAACCCGGGGAAAGAUUUAUCGCAGCAGGAGGGGCCCGCGUCGGAUUAGCUAGUUGGUGGGGUAACGGCCCACCAAGGCGAUGAUCCGUAGCUGGUCUGAGAGGAUGAUCAGCCACACUGGGACUGAGACACGGCCCAGACUCCUACGGGAGGCAGCAGUGGGGAAUAUUGGACAAUGGGCGCAAGCCUGAUCCAGCAAUGCCGCGUGAGUGAUGAAGGCCUUAGGGUUGUAAAGCUCUUUCGCCCGCGACGAUGAUGACGGUAGCGGGAGAAGAAGCCCCGGCUAACUUCGUGCCAGCAGCCGCGGUAAUACGAAGGGGGCGAGCGUUGUUCGGAUUUACUGGGCGUAAAGGGCGCGUAGGCGGCCGAUCAAGUCAGGCGUGAAAGCCCCGGGCUCAACCUGGGAAUGGCGCUUGGGACUGGUUGGCUUGAGUUCGGGAGAGGAGAGUGGAAUUCCCAGUGUAGAGGUGAAAUUCGUAGAUAUUGGGAAGAACACCGGUGGCGAAGGCGGCUCUCUGGACCGAUACUGACGCUGAGGCGCGAAAGCGUGGGGAGCAAACAGGAUUAGAUACCCUAGUAGUCC